rnacentral:rRNA from 1 species
UACGGAGGGUGCGAGCGUUGUCCGGAAUCACUGGGCGUAAAGGGCGCGUAGGCGGCUUGGUAAGUAGGGGGUGAAAUCCUGCGGCUUAACCGCAGGGCUGCCUUCUAAACUGCCAGGCUCGAGCACAGUAGAGGCAGGUGGAAUUCCCGGUGUAGCGGUGGAAUGCGUAGAGAUCGGGAAGAACAUCGGUGGUGAAGGCGGCCUGCUGGGCUGUUGCUGACGCUGAGGCGCGACAGCGUGGGGAGCAAACAGG